AAUGCCACAGAAAUCCUUCUGUGAAGCACCACCUGCUGUCAUGGUUUGAUCUGAGCAUUUGCUCCCCAGACAUGUGUUGUUUAAUGAUGUAAUUUGUAUGUCGUUAUGUUUCAGGGUUGUGUUAAUGGUACUGAAGGUUGUUGUUUUGAAAAUUAACACAUUUUUUUCCUGAUAAACUGUCUCCCUCUGUAGCUCUGAGACGGACUGCUGCCCUGUCCAGGGCGAACCCUCGCCCUGAGUCAGCUGAGAUAGGCUCCAGCCUCCCACGAUCCAACAGAGGAUUGAGUGGUUUAUAGAUUAUGCAUAGAUGGAUGGAAUUCUUAAUUAUUUUAAGAAAAAUGCACAAGUUUUUGAUGACUAUUAAAUAGGUUUGAAUAGUAAAACAUGGAAUGCAUUGCUAUUAUAUUUGGAUUGGAUUUAGUAAUGUAACAGAUUUGUGGAAUAUCUUUUUAAUUUUAAUCUAAUACAUCUAAUGUAUACAUUUUUUUUGACAAACCUUUUGUGCUUGAAAUGAAAUGACAAAUUUCCUCCAAUUUCUCCCUUUCUUCCUCUCUCAACUCUAACCAGCGAAAGCGGGACAGCAGCCCAGCAGCCCCCCAGGAGCCUCCAGCCAAGCGGCCCUGCACCACCUCUGGCUCUCAGCGUGGAGGCGAGGAACCAUCCCGGCCGGAGGUACACGCUGCCCAGCCACAAAGGAGCACCAGCCCCCAGCCGUCCACCUCUGGCUCACUGUAUUACCCUCCAGACCCUCAGAUAAGUUUCAUCCCCCUACCGGACACCUCAGAAUCAGAUUCAGACUAUUCUUCCGAUUCUGAUGUAGAGGGAUAUGUGGACACUGACUCUGACUCUGAUUUCCAGGACGAGAGGAGCUCCAGCCCCUCGAUGUCCAACUCUGGUGUGCAGGUGUACCAGCAAGCGAGGACGUCCCAGCAAGCCUCCGCCCCGGGGGAGGAACCUCCAGGCCAGCCAGGGACGCGCUCCGGACCUGAGCCACCCCCCCCUGGUGUGCAGGAUGACAGCCCGCUGGUGGAGCCGAUCCGUCUGUUAGGUGUUCGGGUCGAGGAGACAGGAACCCUGCCCAUCGUGCACGUCCCGUCUCGAUUUUCACCCGCCCAGGCUGCUGAGGUAUUGUUCUUGGUCCGGAUGCUUUGGACUACUUCUCCUUUUAGACCUGAGAUGUAGCCUUCCUUUCAGUGUCUAGCUGGUCAGGCAUAGUGCACUUAGUGGCAUAUUCCAUCGCCACACACCUUUUACUUUUAGUUUAUAGCACUUUCUUCCACUCUUUAUUAGAAAUUGCAUGUAGAAGUUGUAAUGAUAAGUUUAGAAUCUUUCAUGUUAAGGAUAGCUCUUACUUUUCCUCCUUUGAAAAAACAAAAAAGACCAAAAAAAAUCUUUACACUGUAGAAACUGUAAUGUUAAGGUUAGGACUCUGUAAGUUAAGGAUUUCUGAAUCUUUCUGCACAGCUCUUUCUUUUCCUGCUUUAAAAAACAAAAAAAAAACACCAAAAAAAACUUUACUCUGUAGAAACAAGAAUGUUAAGGUUAGGACUCUGUAAGUUAAGGAUUUCUGAAUCUUUCUGCACAGCUCUUCAUUUUCCUCCUUUUAAAAACAAAAAAAGACCAAAAAAAACUUUACUCUGCAGAAACACUAAUGAUAAGGUUAGGACUCUGUAAGUUAAGGAUUUCUAAAUCUUUCUGUGCCGCUCUUUCUUUUCCUGCUUUUAAAACAAACAGUUUGAAAGUUUGAAAACAGAUGGAAAGAGCUUGAAGAGGGUCUUCAGAAAUGUUCCAUUCAAAUCCAUUUAAGCUGUGUUUAGUUUUAUUAUAUUGACUGAAGCACAGAAGGAGAAAUCCUUCCAUAAUCCUCAUUUCUAAUAUCAAUUUUACUGUUUCCAUCUCCAUUUACGAUGUGAUGAGAAAUUAAAUUUAAAAAUAAGAAUUCAUAGAGCACUUUAUAUUGUUACUGUUAUGUUUGCAUGGAACAUUUCAAAAGGGUCAGGGUUCUUCUGCUGCUCCACUGAACAUCUAACAUGAUGGAUUGAUUGCUUUUUCCAUGUGUGUGGCUACACCUGUAGCACAUUCAGGGAUGGUUGUGUUUUUAGUUUCCGGACCCAGCACAGCUCUAGAAAAUUUGAAGUUGUUCACUAAAAUAUCUGUUUGAUGCAAACAGUCAUUUCCCCUAUUUAUGAGCCAUUUCUUUGUAAAAUGUACUUGUAAACCUUGUGCAAAAACAAUCUGCAAAUGUUUGAGGUUCAGUGCAGCAGCAGAGACAGGGUAGGGUGGACCCUCUUCAAGCCCUUUAUAUCUGAGGAGAUUGUAAAAGCAGGAUAGACUUUAGGAGGGUCUUCAGGAAUGCUCCAUCCAAAUAAUUUUUCAUUGUUAGUAUCGUAUUUCUUCAAAUGACAUUUAGAAUAUUUGAUUGAUUUUUAACAUGUAAACAAUGAGAGUCAUAUUUUUGUGGAGCAUUUCCAAAGGGUCGAGGUUAGGGAGGGUCAGACCCUCCUAAAGUCUUUAUCCUCUUUUACAAAUGUUUCUGUUUGAUGACUUUAUUGUUUAUAAGAAGUCUUUUCUUUAGUUGAUUUAAUUUUUGUCGCAAAAUCUUAAAAAAAAAAGUAUAAAUAUACUUUAGACAAAAACAAACAAAAAACAACAAUAACUGUUUACAAUGUUGCUCAGUAAUGAUAGUUUUAGAAUGAUUUUUUCUGUGUCUCUCUCACAAUUUAAGAAAAGAGCAUAUAUAGAAAAAAGGAGCAUACAAGCAGGAGAUGACUUUAGGAGGGUCUUCAGGAAAUGCUCCAUCCAAAUCACUUUUUCAUUGUUAUCAUUGUCAUUCUUGAAAUGACAUUUUCAACAACUAAUCUAUUUUUAACAUGUAAACAAUGAGAGUCAUAUUUGUGUGACUUGUUAUGAUUCACUGUAUUAAGUGGUGAGAUCUGGAAACUAUUUUCUGUAAUCAAAACUAAUUGUCUAAACAGUAAGAGUCAUCUUAGGAUGGAGCAUUUCCAAAGGGUUGAGGUUAGGGAGGGUCAGACCCUCCUAAAGUCUUUAUCCUCUGUUACUCCUGUUACUGUUACUGAGUGAUCUACAGAAAAUUACAAACAAGUGGUCAGUUUAAAUAAUUUCUGUAAACAUUUGUAGACACUUUUACUCUGUAGAAACACGAAUGAUAAGGUUAGGACUCUGUAAGUUAAGGAUUUCUAAAUCUUUCUGUGCAGCUUUUUCUUUUCCUGCUUUCAAAACAAACAGUUUGAAAGUUUGAAAACAGAUGGAAAGAGCUUGAAGAGGGUCUUCAGAAAUGUUCCAUUCAAAACCAUUUAAAGCUGUGUUUAGUUGUAUUACAUUGACUGAAGCACAGAAGGAGAAAUUCUUCCAUAAUCCUCAUUUCGAAUAUUAAUUUUACUGUUUCCAUCUCCGUUUAUGAUGUGAUGAGAAAUUAAAUUUAAAAAUAAGAAUUCAUAGACUACUUUAUAUUGUUACUGUUAUGUUUGCAUGGAACAUUUCAAAAGGGUCAGGGUUCUUCUGCUGCUCCACUGAACAUCUAACAUGAUGGAUUGAUUGCUUUCUCCAUGUGUGUGGCUACACCUGUAGCACAUUCAGGGAUGGUUGUGUUUUUAGUUUCCGGACCCAGCACAGCUCUAGAAAAUUUGAAGUUGUUCACUAAAAUAUCUGUUUGAUGCAAACAGUCAUUUCCCCUAUUUAUGAGCCAUUUCUUUGUAAAAUGUACUUGCAAACCUUGUGCAAAAACAAUCUGCAAAUGUUUGAGGUUCAGUGCAGCAGCAGAGACAGGGUAGGGUGGACCCUCUUCAAGCCCUUUAUAUCUGAGGAGAUUGUAAAAGCAGGAUAGAUUUUGGGAGGGUCUUCAGGAAAUGCUCCAUCCAAAUAAUUUUUCAUUGUUAGUAUCGUAUUUCUUCAAAUGACAUUUAGAAUAUUUGAUUGAUAUUUAACAUGUAAACAAUGAGAGUCAUAUUAGCAUGGAGCAUUUCCAAAGGGUCGAGGUUUGGGAGGGUCAGACCCUCCUAAAGUCUUUAUCCUCUUUUACAAAUGUUUCUGUUUGAUGACUUUAUUGUUUAUAAUAAGUCUUUUCUUUAGUUGAUUUAAUUUUUGUCGCGAAAUCUUCAAAGAAAAAAACGUCUAAAUAUACUUUAGACAAAAACAAACAAAAAAACAACAAUAACUGUUUACAAUGUUGCUCAGUAAUGAUAGUUUCAGAAUGAUUUUUCUGUGUCUCUCUCACAAUUUAAGAAAAGAGCAUAUAUAGAAAACAGGAGCAUACAAGCAGGAGAUGACUUUAGGAGGGUCUUCAGGAAAUGCUCCAUCCAAAUCACUUUUUCAUUGUUAUUAUUGUCAUUCUUGAAAUGACAUUUUCAACAACUAAUCUGUUUUUAACAUAUAAACAAUGAGAGUCAUCUUAGGAUGGAGCAUUUCCAAAGGGUCGAGGUUAGGGAGGGUCAGACCCUCCUAAAGUCUUUAUCCUCUGUUACUCCUGUUACUGUUACUGAGUGAUCUACAGAAAAUUACAAACAAGUGCUCAGUUUAAAUAAUUUCUUUAAACAUUUGUAGACACUGAGGAAAAUUCAUCCAGAUACUAGAAAAUAGAGCAAAGUUUAAAAUGUUCCGAGGUAACUGUAACAAAUUUUUCUGUGACUAUUCAGCAAAGGAAUUAAAAUACAUAUCUGAAGAGAUUGUAAAAGCAGGACAGACUUUAGGAGGGUCUUCAGGAAAUGCUCCAUCCAAAUAAUUUUUCAUUGUUAGUAUCGUAUUUCUUCAAAUGACAUUUACAAUAUUUGAUUGAUUUUUAACAUGUAAACAAUGAGAGUCAUAUUAGCAUGGAGCAUUUCCAAAGAGUCGAGGUUAGGGAGGGUCAGACCCUCCUAAAGUCUUUAUCCUCUUUUACAAAUGUUUCUGUUUGAUGACAUUAUUGUUCAUAAUAAGUCUUUUCUUUAGUUGAUGUAAUGUUUGUCGCGAAAUCUUCAAAGAAAAAAAACGUAUACGGUAAAUAUACUUUAGACAAAAACAAACAAAAAAAACAACAAUGACUGUUUACAAUGUUGCUCAGUAAUGAUAGUUUGAGAAUGAUUUUUUUCUGUGCCUCUUUCACAAUUUAACUAACAAACAUUUAGAUAACAGGAGUAUAAAAGCAGGAGAUGACUUUAGGAGGGUCUUCAGGAAAUGCUCCAUCCAAAUCACUUUUUCAUUGUUGUUAUUGUCAUUCUUGAAAUGACAUUUUCAACAACUAAUCUAUUUUUAACAUGUAAACAAUGAGAGUCAUAUUUGUGUGACUUGGUAUGAUUCACUGUAUUAAGUGGUGAGAUCUGGAAACUAUUUUCUGAAAUGAAAACUAAUUGUCUAAACAGUAAGAGUCAUCUUAGGAUGGAGCAUUUCCAAAGGGUUGAGGUUAGGGAGGGUCAGACCCUCCUAAAGUCUUUAUCCUCUGUUACUCCUGUUACUGUUACUGAGUGAUCUACAGAAAAUUACAAACAAGUGUUCAGUUUAAAUAAUUUCUGUAAACAUUUGUAGACACUCUUACUCUGUAGAAACACGAAUGAUAAGGUUAGGACUCUGUAAGUUAAGGAUUUCUAAAUCUUUCUGUGCAGCUCUUUCUUUUCCUGCUUUCAAAACAAACAGUUUGAAAGUUUGAAAACAGAUGGAAAGAGCUUGAAGAGGGUUUUCAGAAAUGUUCCAUUCAAAUCCGUUUAAAGCUGUGUUUAGUUGUAUUACAUUGACUGAAGCACAGAAGGAGAAAUUCUUCCAUAAUCCUCAUUUCGAAUAUUAAUUUUACUGUUUCCAUCUCCGUUUACGAUGUGAUGAGAAAUUAAAUUUAAAAAUAAGAAUUCAUAGAGCACUUUAUAUUGUUACUGUUAUGUUUGCAUGGAACAUUUCAAAAGGGUCAGGGUUCUUCUGCUGCUCCACUGAACAUCUAACAUGAUGGAUUGAUUGCUUUUUCCAUGUGUGUGGCUACACCUGUAGCACAUUCAGGGAUGGUUGUGUUUUUAGUUUCCGGACCCAGCACAGCUCUAGAAAAUUUGAAGUUGUUCACUAAAAUAUCUGUUUGAUGCAAACAGUCAUUUCCCCUAUUUAUGAGCCAUUUCUUUGUAAAAUGUACUUGUAAACCUUGUGCAAAAAAAAAAAAAAUCUGCAAAUGUUUGAGGUUCGGUGCAGCAGCAGAGACAGGGUAGGGUGGACCCUCUUCAAGCCCUUUAUAUCUGAGGAGAUUGUAAAAGCAGGAUCGAUUUUAGGAGGGUCUUCAAGAAAUGCUCCAUCCAAAUAAUUUUUCAUUGUUAGUAUCAUAUGUCUUCAAAUGACAUUUACAAGAUUUGAUUGAUUUUUAACAUGUAAACAAUGAGAGUCAUAUUAGGAUGGAGCAUUUCCAAAGGGUCGAGGUUAGGGAGGGUCAGACCCUCCUAAAGUCUUUAUCCUCUUUUACAAAUGUUUCUGUUUGAUGACUUUAUUGUUUAUAAUAAGUCUUUUCUUUAGUUGAUUUAAUUUUUAUCGCGAAAUCUUCAUAGAAAAAAAACGUAUAAAUAUACUUUAGACAAAAACAAACAAAAAACAACAAUAACUGUUUACAAUGUUGCUCAGUAAUGAUAGUUUCAGAAUGAUUUUUCUGUGUCUCUCUCACAAUUUAAGAAAAGAGCAUAUAUAGAAAACUAUAGAUUACUUGCGUAACCCCGGUUCUCAGAGUAGCAUGAGUGAGAUGUCUCACUAUGGGAUACGCCCCCUGCGUAUGCCUCAGAAGCACUUAUCUCAUUACGCCAAUCUUGAUUGGCUGGUGAUCGCGACGUCUGCAUCAGGUGGAGCCACCUACCCUUAAGUAGCCUGCGCUGCCACGCAGCAUCACUCAAAAUAAGCACCUCUUCUCGCUUCGCCCAGCAAGAAGGGCUAUCUGGUGAGACAUCUCACUCAUGCUACUCUGAGAUCCGGGGUUACGCAAGUUACCUGUAGUUCUCAUUCCUAGCAUUCGUUUCGAUGUAUCACUAUGGGAUAUGGAAACUCCCGUAUUGCCAGACAUGCUUAUCUCAAGUCAACCACCAGCACUCUGGGAACGGCCCUCUGCUCUAAGCUGGUCAAGUACUCAGUACUGCAUGAGCCAAGCUCAGAGCAGAGAUGUCCAGCUUAUAAAAGUGGACAAAAGUGAGAGGUGAAGACCAGCUUGCUGCUGCACAAAUCUCCUGAAUUGAGACCCCUUUAUAAAGGGCCCAGGAUGCAGCCAGGCCACGUGUAGAAUGAGCCCACAGGCCCACAGGAGCCUGCAGGCCCUGAGACGUGUAGGCCAGGGCAAUUGCUUCCACAAUCCAGUGGGAGAGCUGCUGCUUUGUGAUGGGUCUGCCCCUGUAGGGGCUAGCCCAGGACACAAAGAGCUGGUCACUCCUCCGAAAACCCUUUGUCCUGUCCAUAUAAAUCCGCAAGGCACGGACUGGACACAGCAUGUGCAACCGCUGUUCUUCAGGAGAAGAAAAUGGCGGUGGAGAAAAUGCUGUAAGAACAAUGGGACUGCAUGAGCCAUCCACCUUGGGCACAAAAGCAAGGUGGGGCUUCAGUGACACCCUGGCAUGCCCAGGAGCAAACUGAGUGCACGAGGAGUGCACUGAGAGUGCAUGAAUGUCACUCAUACGCUUGGCAGAGGCCAACGCCAGCAGCAGCCCUGUCUUCAGAGACAGGUGCUUCAGGCUAGCCUCCUCCAGUGGUUCAAAUGGAGCCCCGGAGAGCCCAUUCAAGACCACUGCCAAGUCCCAUGGGGGGGCCAGCGACCUGGAAACAGGAAGCAGCCUGCGUGCCCCUUUCAUAAAACGGCAGACGAAAGGAUGUUGGCUAGCCGUCUUUCCUUCAAAUCCCACAUGCCAUGCUGCAAUAGCAGCCAGAUACACCUUAAUUGUGGAGAAAGCUUUUUGUCUAUCAAGCUCUGCAGGAAAGACAAAAUUACACUAGCAGUGCACUGAAAGGAGAUGUGUCCUCUCUUCUGACACCACUCCUCAAACACCCUCCACUUACAGUCAUAAAGAGACCUGGUGGAGGAUGCUCUAGCGCUCUGAAUAGUGUUAAUCACACUCUGCGGGAGCCCUGUAGUAUUUAGAUUACACCACUCACGGGCCAGGCCCAUAGGGCCAGGCGUUCGGGGUGUGGGUGAAAUACUGCUCCCCCUGCCUGGGACAGCAUAUCCCUGCACAGGGGAAUCUGCCAUGGCUGUCCCGACAGGAACUGAUAUAUCUCCGCCAGCCAGUGCAUGGCCGACCAGUGCGGAGCUAUCAGAAUUAGUGUGUGGCGAUGCUCUCUGACUCUGUCCAGAGUCGGAGGUAUCAGAGCCAAUGGGGGAAAAGCGUACAGGAGGACCGGCAGCCAGACGUGCGCAAGCACGUUCACGCCGAGCAGUGCACCUGGAUCGCGUAUUGAGAAAAACAGCGGACACUGUGCGUUUUCUCUCGACGCAAACAGAUCCACCGCAGCUCUGCCGAAGCGGGCCCACACCUGCUCUACGAUGGCUGGAUGUUGUGUCCAUUCCCCGUAGAGCGGCUCGCCUCUGGACAGCAGAUCUGCCCCCCGGUUCAGAGCCACCAGGACAUGGGUGGCUCUCAGAGACAGAAGACGCUUGCUGCUCCAGAGGGUCAGUCUGCGUGCCAGCAUGUCUAAUUGCCUGGAGCGCAGACCCCCCUGACUGUUGAUAUAUGCCACCGUCAUUGUAUUGUCCGUUCUCACCAGGACAUGAUGUCCACUGAGAAACGGAAGAAAGCGUCUCAGCGCGAGAAACACCGCUAAGAGCUCCAAAUAGUUUAUGUGAGAGCGCUGGAGAUCUUUGCUCCAGAUGCUCCUCACACAUUGGCCCUCGAAUAUACCGCCCCAGCCGGACAUGCUCGUGUCUGUAGUGACCACUUUCCGGGACAGAACGGGGCCCAUAGGCACCCCCUUCACCAGGAAAGCCGGGUGGUGCCAGCGGCACAGUGCCAUUACGCAUGGCGCGCUGACCGUCACCCUCCGUGCGCCAUGACGCACAGGGUCCAGCCUGAGGGAGGACACCCAUCGCUGGAAUUCCCUCAUGUAUAGGCAACCCAGCCGGACUACAAGGAUGGCUGAGGCCAUCAGCCCCAGUAGUCGGAGGCAUAAUCUGAAAGGAACCCGACUGUGUAGGGUGAAGCGUGAGAGGCAGGCUCUGAAAGCUGGAUUGUGAGGGCAUGGAGAAGCUUGGCAUUCUCCGCAUGCCCCCCAUGGAGCCGUUAGUCGCCGCGCACCUGCACCCGCGACUGACUACCUCCUCCAGGAACCCCACACUGCCUACACUACGCAUAUUGCUCUCUUUAACAACAGCGAGUGAAUUUCCUCCUGAAGAACACGAGCUGACUCUCCGCGCACCUGAGAAUGCACUAUACCUGAGAAGCGAGGGGGAACAGCGGCAAACUGAAGCCUGUAACCCCGUGAGAUCGUUCUCAGAACCCAGGCUGAGCUUGUGAUCGCGGCCCAUCUCUCUGUCAUCAGAGAGAGAGAUGUGACAGCCUCUGACACACCGCCUGUCACCGGAGCCUCCAAUAACGGUGUUAUGGGGCCCUCUAGUGGUGGGAUAUGGCCAUGACACUUGGGCAUCACUGCGCAUGCGCCGGGUGUUAGUGCAUUGGCAGAUUCGGUACCCCUCCGGGCCCGGAGCUGGGAUGUAGUCCGCUCCGGACCCGGAACCGGCACCGAACCGCUUAUUGUGUUCUCGUUUGUUAAUUGUGACUGCGCCCUUGACCAGAGGUCUGGAUGCGGCAGUGAACACCUUUAUAUUAAACAGGACCAAUGGUGUGUGCUUGUGUGACUUAGAUGAGGGACAGAGCCUGCUGGCCCCACAACGAAGUCUCUUUCCCCCUCCGCUGGGAUGCGUUGUUGCCACACUGGCAGCGCACGCAGCGGCGGGGACUCGUGGGCUCGGGAAACCCGGAGUAGCACACUGUGGAAGGGAACCGAUGGGGCUGGUGAACGGGAACAGGCAGCACCGGUGGGAAGAGGGGAGGCCGUGAGGCCGCCCUCUUCUUCUUCCUGGCCUGCUGACUGGUAGUCUGCGCGGUCUGUACCGGCGGAGCUGCCGUCAUUGCGGGGGCCUUUCUGGGCCAGCCGGUCCUCUCCUCCUGUCUGCUUGGAGCAUUAGGGGCAGGACGGGCUUCAGGUCGUGUCAAGAUUUUAAACUGAGAGAUCGGAGGCUGUGCCGCAGCCGAUGCGAAGCUCUGUCGCGGGGUUGGGACCGGUGUGGGCUCGACUUUGCGAGGGAGGCAAAGCUGGAGAGCUUCGUCCUCCUUCUUCUUCGCCUCACAGCGCUGCUGCAUUGAGGCGAGAGCGGAGCCAAAUAUGCCGUCUGGAAAUGACAUGUCCAAAAUGUCCUCCUUCUCUCUGUCAGAUAGGUUGGUCAGGUUGAGCCAUCUGGCUCUUUCCUGCAACACCAUCAUUCCCAGAGAUUUUCCCGUGGCUUGGACCGCACAGCGCUGUACGCGGAGGCAGAUAUCCGUUAUCAUGGUCAUCUCGUCCCACACCGCUGGGUCAGUCUUGGUCGUCAUAUCUUCACAUAGCUCGGCUUGGUAUGCUGCGAGCAUGGAGGAGACGUUCAGUGCUCUGACAGUUAGCGCUGCAGCCCUGUAAGCUCGCUCCGUCAUGGCGGACUGGAAGUGGUCUGCUUUGGACGGCAGUGUGGGGUUCCUGGAGGAGGUAGUCAGUCGCGGGUGCAGGUGCGCGGCGACUAACGGCUCCAUGGGGGGCAUGCGGAGAAUGCCAAGCUUCUCCAUGCCCUCACAAUCCAGGGAGGAAGCUCCGUGUAUCGGGCUUUUGCUGGUGAAUGGGUGAUCCUUCCAUGAGGAGGACACCUCGUCGAGCAGCUCAGGGAAGACAGGGAGUAACUGUUUUGCCGCGCUCGUAGCCUGGGGGAAUUUCUUCCCUUCAUAACGGGAUCUGGUGGUCUCCGUUAUCACAGCAGGCCAAGGGAUGUUCAGCCGGGAUGCAGCGCGUUUGCACACGGACUGCAUAUCCAUGCUGAUGGAGGGGGAAGCGGCCGCUUCCCCUCCUCGUCCCUGAGGGCAGCUACAGCGCCUGGUGUGGCAAACUGAGCAGAGGGGAUGAGGACGUCGUCCUCACUCUCAUCCUCCUCGGAUAUGAGGAGCUCCGAGGUAGCCUCGUCGUCAUCCUCGUAAUCCAACUCCAGUACGUCUUCCAUAAGCGGGGCCGGAGCGGCGAGGUCUAGCUGGGAGCCCCAGCUAGCGCUAGCGCGCGGUCCGGUGUCUGCGGCCGUCCCGUCCUUGGUCUCGCCGGUGACUGGUGGGUCACCCAGGGACAAGAAGGGGUCCUGGACAGACAAGCUAGCUUGGCGUGCUAGGCGUCGUCGGAGACUCUUCAUGGUGAAGCGGGAGCAGUGCACGCAUGAACUGGGGGCUUCAAUAGCCUGUUGGGCGUGUUGCAGCCCGAGGCAAAACGAGCAGACCUGGUGUGAGUCACGGCUCGAUAUUUUAUUGCCACAGGCACAGAGCCGAGCCCCGGAGUCUCCAUUUCCUCUGGUGUGAGGCGCAUGGGCAUCCAUCCUGAUUAGCUGGAUUGCUGAACAGGAGACGCCGUGAAUUAGCUGGUAUGCUAAUUAAUGAAGAACGAUUUUAGCUGGUGUGCUAUUUCACCGAAACGGUGUUAGCUGGUUUGCUAAACCAUGUAAAUGCCUUACCUUGGUGUGGUCGGGCUGUUGACUCUCCAAGCUGGAGGGUCGUAAAUUUGGCAGCUAGCGUUCGGUGACGGAGCAAUAGCCGAGUUAGCUCCAGUCUAUGAACAGUUAAGCUAGCUAGCGCUUAACUUGAGAUAUGCUACACGAAGCGAGAAGAGGUGUUUGAGUGAUGCUGCGUGGUAGUGCAGGCUACUUAAGGGUUGGGGGCUCCACCUGACGCAGGCAUCGCGAUCACCAGCCAAUCAGGAUUGGCGUAAUGAGAUAAGUGCUUCUGAGGCAUACGCAGGGGGCGUAUCCCAUAGUGAGACAUCGAAACGAAUGCUAGGAAUGAGAACAGGAGUAUUCACCUUAUUCAGCUCCGCCCAUUUUUCAACGGGUGGGACUUCCUGUUUUGAGUAGCACUUCCGGUAACUCGGUCAGGGCGAUGUUUACAACUGAGAAAGUGAUGUGGGAAGAAACGAAAACCUCUUUAAAAAACAGAAAUGGAUCGAGUCUGCCUCAUCCGCGACUUAUUACAGAGUGGGAGGAUGACAUGAAAAAGUGGCCACAAGUCAUGUAUGGCAAUAUUUUUAACUAUUUCGUGUUGUCUUUUUGCGUUGAUCGCUCAGCUAUGAGGAAUUAUAAGAGCACUGAAGCCUAUCAAUAUUUGCACAGUGGUAAAGUCGGCGCUGUUCUGUUACAUCAAGAACGGGAAUAUACGUUUCUUAAAGCUAAUGUCAGCCCGAGUCAGGCUAGUACCUCCUCACACAUGGUGGGUGUUGGUGACAGCUGAUGAAGCGGUGGAGACCACGGGAUGCUCCUGUAUCGCUGGGUUGGGACGGUCCUGCAGUCAUGCUGCUGCGAUAUUAUGGAAGGUAUGUUGAUUUGAAUAAAACUUUAUUUGAUUCAUGUAUAUAUGAUGUGGUUGUGCAAACGGAGGUUGGUAUUGUCAUUUCUGAAACAGCUCCUGCGGUUUACUGUGUUAUUAGCCCUGUCACAAGCUAAUGCUAAUUCCCUGGAGCAACAAAAAACUGAUUCUGACCAAACCGCAGUCAUAACAACGUUUCAAAAUAGCAGAGAGUAUCUUUUUACCUCACUGAUGGCAUAGCUAGGUCUUUAGUGGAAACUGAACUUUGGUAGAAUCGCUGUAGCUGUGCUGACAGUGACCGAUGCAAGCUGUGUGUUUACAUAGCCAUGAGCUGGUCCGCAGCAUUCAGAUCUAACCCUUCCAUGCUCUAAACAAUUCUGAGAGAGAGAAAGCUUCAUCUUUCCCCAGUUGUUGUGGCACCCACGGACAGCGCAACUGAUGCCAAACAUGUUAAAAUCACUUAAAAGAACAGUUAAAAGUAGCUACAGUAGCGAGAGGACUCGAUGUUGUUGUAGUGCGAAGACGGUCAACCGGAAGUCGAUCUCAAAAAUGGCGCCGCCCUGCCUCACUUCCUGAAUAAGGUGAAUAGAGCUCCGGGAGAUGACGUCACACAAUCCCGGCAUGCAACAGUCGAAAUCAAAACACCGCCAUAUUGGCAGGAAGGCGCGCUGUUUAAACUACUGCCAGCUAACUCCGAAACGUUCUUCAGCGUCGAUAUCAGAGAGUCCACCAUAUGGUGGACAGUUGUUGCGCCCCGGGAUGCCAGAACAGCCGAGGACGAGCAAAGGGGAGAGCAUUUUAUCGGAUUCCCAAAGAUCCUGAAAGACGAAAGAGGUGGAUCACUGCCAUAAAAUGCGCAAGAAGCGAGCAGAAGAAAACGGAGCGGUGGGAACCCACAGGCAACGGAUUCCGCUUAUGUAGUGACCACUUUGUAUCAGGUACAGAAUCCGUUUCCUAAGCUUUAUAUCUGAUCGGGUAAUUUCUCUUACCCCUCAAGGCUUUUAUACGCUGUUCCGCUUCAGUUGCGCUUCAGUGUCCCGCCCGCGGUACACUUUGAGAUCUGCAUAAGCAAUUUGCUAAAUGUCUGAAACGCGAUUAUACAAACACUAUACGCCGAUGGAAAGCUUAGAUUCUCAUGAAUCUGCCGGUAUAAACCACUUUCAGAUGUGAUUACCACAGCGGGUAAUAUGAACACAUUUGUCCGACAAACAACGAAUAUCCAUCCAUCCGUUCUCUAUACACGGCUUCAACGUACACAGCGCGACUCACAUUUCCGGGUUCAUUAUUACACACAGAUGAAAAUAUUCCACAAAAAACGGCCAUAAUCCAACCUUGGACAUCCAGACGAAACAAGCCAGUAAAAUAUUUUUUCCAAAACAUGUCUUGAAGUCGGCAUAUUAUCCACGAAUACGUCGUUUUCAAGGAAAUGCACCUCGCGAUGCGCGUCCAAUAUUCCCUGUAUUUCUCGUCAUAUUUUUAUUUACAAAUAGAAUAUUAGCGAUUUUUUUGUACUGAAAAUGGCUGGAAUUGACUGCAGCUUAAAGGGUUAAGAGAUUCACCGGAGUAGGAUGAAGGAAAAUUUAUCAGGUAAUUGUAGAUGUCAGGGUACCGCAGGUCCGGUAAAAGGUCCGCUCCGACCGUCUCAAGAUUCUUAAAUAAGAUACCGGGGGCAUGAUAUGGAUCGGAUAUGUUUAGUUUGUCCCGUUUGUUUGUAUAUUUUAUAAUGUCGUCUGAUUUAAAAUGAAAAGUAAACUCAGACGGCGUAAAUUUUCUACCAGCACCAUUCAUUUUGAAGCGGAGUUUCCUGCCAACAUGGCGGCGUAAACAAACAGAGUCACAUGACGUCCGGAGCUCCAUACAAGCAGGAGAUGACUUUAGGAGGGUCUUCAGGAAAUGCUCCAUCCAAAUCACUUUUUCAUUGUUAUUAUUGUCAUUCUUGAAAUGACAUUUUCAACAACUAAUCUAUUUUUAACAUGUAAACAAUGAGAGUCAUCUUAGGAUGGAGCAUUUCCAAAGGGUCGAGGUUAGGGAGGGUCAGACGCUCCUAAAGUCUUUAUCCUCUGUUACUCCUGUUACUGUUACUGAGUGAUCUACAGAAAAUUACAAACAAGUGGUCAGUUUAAAUAAUUUCUGUAAACAUUUGUAGACACUUUUACUCUGUAGAAACACGAAUGGUAAGGUUAGGACUCUGUAAGUUAAGGAUUUCUAAAUCUUUCUGUGCAGCUCUUUCUUUUCCUGCUUUCAAAACAAACAGUUUGAAAGUUUGAAAACAGAUGGAAAGAGCUUGAUGAGGGUCUUCAGAAAUGUUCCAUUCAAAUCCAUUUAAAGCUGUGUUUAGUUUUAUUAUACUGACUGAAGCACAGAAGGAGAAAUUCUUCCAUAAUCCUCAUUUCGAAUAUUAAUUUUACUGCUUCCAUCUCCAUUUGCGAUGUGAUGAGAAAUUAAAUUUAAAAAUAAGAAUUCAUAGACCACUUUAUAUUGUUACUGUUAUGUUUGCAUGGAACAUUUCAAAAGGGUCAGGGUUCUUCUGCUGCUCCACUGAACAUCUAACAUGAUGGAUUGAUUGCUUUCUCCAUGUGUGUGGCUACACCUGUAGCACAUUCAGGGAUGGUUGUAUUUUUAGUUUCCGGACCCAGCACAGCUCUAGAAAAUUUGAAGUUGUUCACUAAAAUAUCUGUUUGAUGCAAACAGUCAUUUCCCCUAUUUAUGAGCCAUUUCUUUGUAAAAUGUACUUGCAAACCUUGUGCAAAAACAAUCUGCAAAUGUUUGAGGUUCAGUGCAGCAGCAGAGACAGGGUAGGGUGGACCCUCUUCAAGCCCUUUAUAUCUGAGGAGAUUGGAAAGCAGGACAGACUUUAGGAGGGUCUUCAGGAAAUGCUCUUUCCAAAUCCCUUUUCAUUGUUAAUAUUGUCAUUCUUGAAAUGACAUUUUAAACAACUAAUCUAUUUUUAACAUGUAAACAAUGAGAGUCAUAUUUUUGUGACUUAUGGUUCACUGUAUUAACUGGUGAGAUCUGGAAACUAUUUUCUGAAAUGAAAACUAAUUGUCUAAACAGUAAGAGUCAUCUUAGAAUGGAGUAUUUCCAAAGGGUUGAGGUUAGGGAGGGUCAGACCCUCCUAAAGUCUCUAUGCUCUUUUACAAAUGUUAUUACUAGAUUUCAUCAAUGUUAAUGAUGAUUCUUUCUGAUGUUUUAACAUCUAUAAAGAAAAAAAUACAGAAAAAUUGACAAAUGGUGAGGAUUUCCUGUUAUGUUUCCUGUUUUGGGUUUGGUUUGGUUCGGUCCGUCUCUCGUUUUUCUCUUCUCUCUGGUUUCCUUUCAGUGUGAUGCUGAAGACGUGGCUCGUCUCCCUGCAGCUCAUUCCAGAUCAUCAGCUCCUCCAUAAAACCUGGACUUUUCUCUUCUCGUCCCAGAUUGUUCUGCGCGUUUGAUACUACCUGCUGCUACCUCAGUCCUCCAGAGCUCCAGUGUUUCCUGCGCUCGACCUUCAGCUCUACCUCCAUCACUCCAGCCGUCCACCCCCAAACCAGCCAGUCGUCAACCUCCACUUAACUUUCUAAGACUUUUGUUCAAAUAAAUCACUCUUUUUACAUUACACCCCUCCAUGUUCUCAUGCCCACCUUAACUAAUGUACAUAUUUUGAUAACAGGACUGUUGAAGCAAGAGAUGGAGGAGAAGUGCCCAACUGAAAUGAUGUUUUUAUUGUUAAGUGCGUCAGUGCAAAGCAUUGAAACACACUGAUUAGACUGAUUACUGCUCCUCGGGAUUAUUCUUACGGAUUCUUCUGACACGAUUUUCAGCAGGAAUCUCGUGCCACAGCAUUGAGAAUGCUCAUACAAAUUAAAUAUCAAUUCAGUUAGGGUUUGUAAAUAUACUGGCUUUUCAAAAUAAAAUGUACUUCUGUAAAUUCCACCUUAUGUAUGAUUAUUAGCCGGACAUAUCAGCCGCAGGGUCCAAAGCGUGAGAAAAAAGUAGCGGCUUAUAGUCUGGAAAUUACGGUACUAUCUACAACUUUUAAGUUGUUUGGAAUAAAUUUAACAUACAAGUGGAUUUUAAACAGCUGAAUGUAACCAAUAAUACAAGGGUUUUCUCUAAAUUCCACACAAAAUGUUAAUUUUAAUAACUAGUACAGUUUCAAAAUUAUUCAACCCCCUAAUGACAACUUGCUGGAGCUAUGAGCCGCGGUUGACACCGCCCUGCCCACAACAAAAAAUGUUCAAAGACUUCCCAAAAAUGUUGAAAAUGUGAACAUCAGAAGUUUCACAAUAUUUUUUUUCCUGCAUUUUCAAACUUUAAAAUGGGUCAAUUUUGACCUGCAGGACAACAUGAGGGUUAAAGAAGGCUGGAUACAUCUCAACUGGAUUACUAUGAUGGUUACAUUCACGUUUCCAUGCUCCCAAAAGCAAUUUUGAAGAUGAGUAAUGAUACAGAAAACCCUCCCCAGCAAGUAGACAGAUGGAAACGCUCAGCUGUAGCUUUAACUGCAUAUUUCACUCAUCUUCUAGCAAACAUAAAAUACCGUACACAUGUUAGCCAGGAAAACUGUUGCUUUUCGCUGUAGGAAAUCUUUAAACCUCGUCCAGUGUCCAUAACUGUGAUGUCAAGAAACACGUCAGAGAAUAUAAGCUCUGCACAAGAACAUUUAUUCGACAAAAAUUGCGAAAUGAUACAAUAAAGCUUAAGUUUCCUAUAAAGACAAUAAAGCAGAGCUGGAAUUUUUUCAAACCUGCAGCCUUGUGGAUACUUGCUACAUACAUACAGGAC